rnacentral:rRNA from 1 species
UACGUAGGAUCCAAGCGUUAUCCGGAAUUACUGGGCGUAAAGCGUGCGCAGGACUGUUUAGUAGGUCUUAUGCGAAAUCCGGUGGCUCAACCACCUGGACUGUAUGGGAAACCCCUAGACUUGAGGUAGGUAGAGGUACAUGGAAUUUCUGGUGUAGGAGUGACAUCCGUAGAUAUCAGAAGGAACACCAAUGGCGAAGGCAGUGUACUGGGCCUUACCUGACGUUCAGGCACGAAAGCGUGGGUAGCAAACAGG